rnacentral:rRNA from 1 species
GACGAACGCUGGCGGCGUGCCUAAUACAUGCAAGUAGGACGCAGUUGCGAACGGGUGAGUACCGCGUCGGUAACUGCCUAUUAGAGGGGGAUAACUAUUGGAAACGAUAGCUAAUACCGCAUACUAGUAGAAUGACCUGCGUUGUAUUAGCUAGUCGGGAGGGUAAUGGCCUACCUCGGCGACGAUACAUAGCCGACCUGAGAGGGUGAUCGGCCACACUGGGACUGGGACACGGCCCAGCCUCCUACGUGAGGCAGCAGUAGGGAAUCUGCGGCAAUGGGGGGAACCCUGACCGAGCAACGCCGCGUGAGGGAAGAAGGUUUUCGGAUCGUAAAGCGCUGUUGUUAAGGAAGCGGUACUUAACCAGAAAGGGACGGCUAACUACGUGCCAGCAGCCGCGGUAAUAC